GGGAGGAAGGUAGGAAGGUAGGGAGGAAGGUAGGGAGGGAGGUAGGAAGGUAGGGAGGAAGGUAGGGAGGGAGGGAGGGAGGAAAAACAAUGAAGGAGAAGGGAAGGGAAGAUACUGUAUUUGGAGAACAAGAUGAGCGACGGCAGGAGAUUAACGUGGUGAAGUGUUGAUCAGUUGAUUGAGAGAAUAAUACAAGGAAAAGCAAGAAAGAAGACAUCUAUGCUUUUAGUCUGGAGUCUUAACUCAGUCCUAAACUACAUCUAUGCUUUUAGUCUGGAGUCUUAACUCAGUCCUAAACUACAUCUAUGCUUUUAGUCUGGAGUCUUAACUCAGUCCUAAACUACAUCUAUGCUUUUAGUCUGGAGUCUUAACUCAGUCCUAAACUACAAUACUUAACUACAUCUAUGCUUUUAGUCUGGAGUCUUAACUCAGUCCUAAACUACAAUACUUAACUACAUCUAUGCUUUUAGUCUGGAGUCUUAACUCAGUCCUAAACUACAAUACUUAACUACAUCUAUGCUUUUAGUCUGGAGUCUUAACUCAGUCCUAAACUACAAUACUUAACUACAUCUAUGCUUUUAGUCUGGAGUCUUAACUCAGUCCUAAACUACAUCUAUGCUUUUAGUCUGGAGUCUUAACUCAGUCCUAAACUACAAUUACUUAACUACAUCUAUGCUUUUAGUCUGGAGUCUUAACUCAGUCCUAAACUACAAUACUUAACUACAUCUAUGCUUUUAGUCUGGAGUCUUAACCCUGUCCUAAACUACAAUACUUAACUACAUCUAUGCUUUUAGUCUGGAGUCUUAACCCUGUCCUAAACUACAAUACUUAACUACAUCUAUGCUUUUAGUCUGGAGUCUUAACCCUGUCCUAAACUACAACUCUCACCUUAAAAACUACAGUACUUAACUAUCAGGAGGAAGCGAGGGUACAUUGCUACAAUAUAAUCUUGGUUAUCAUUUUGGAAUAUUAUCAGUAAAAAUGUAUGUUGCUUUCAAUAUGGUUCUAAUUUAAAGCACUUUUGUUGUAAUGUGUAUUUGAGUGUGUGUUUUGAGUGUGUGUUUUGAGUGUGUGUUUUGAGUGUGUGUGAGCGUAUUGAAAAUAAUAAGCUUGGUACGAAAACCAAUAGAGAAAACCAAUAGAAAACCAAUAGAGAAAACCAAUAGAAAACCAAUAGAGAAAACCAAUAGAGAAAACCAAUAGAGAAAACCAAUAGAAAACCAAUAGAAAACCAAUAGAGAAAACCAAUGGAGAAAACCAAUAGAAAACCAAUAGAGAAAACCCAUAGAGAAAACCAAUAGAAAACCAAUAGAAAACCAAUAGAGAAAACCAAUAGAAAACCAAUAGAGAAAACCAAUAGAGAAAACCAAUAGAAAACCAAUAGAGAAAACCAAUAGCAAACCAAUAGAAAACCAAUACAGAAAACCAAUAGAAAACCAAUAGAGAAAACCAAUAGAAAACCAAUAGAGAAAACCAAUAGAAAACCAAUAGAGAAAACCAAUAGAAAACCAAUAGAGAAAACCAAUAGAAAACCAAUAGAGAAAACCAAUAGAGAAAACCAAUAGAAAACCAAUAGAGAAAACCAAUAGAAAACCAAUAGAGAAAACCAAUAGAAAACCAAUAGAAAACCAAUAGAAAACCAAUAGAGAAAACCAAUAGAAAACCAAUAGAGAAAACCAAUAGAGAAAACCAAUAGAAAACCAAUAGAAAACCAAUAGAGAAAACCAAUAGAAAACCAAUAGAGAAAACCAAUAGAGAAAACCAAUAGAAAACCAAUAGAAAACCAAUAGAGAAAACCAAUAGAAAACCAAGAGAAAACCAAUAGAAAAACCAAUAGAAAACCAAUAGAGAAAACCAAUAGAGAAAACCAAUAGAAAACCAAUAGAGAAAACCAAUAGAGAAAACCAAUAGAGAAAACCAAUAGAAAACCAAUAGAGAAAACCAAUAGAGAAAACCAAUAGAGAAAACCAAUAGAAAACCAAUAGAGAAAACCAAUAGAGAAAACCAAUAGAAAACCAAUAGAGAAAACCAAUAGAUGCUUCACACAUAUUGUAACAAUUAGCGUUGCCAAAGUCUGCAUUAUGUACGCGUCAAGAGUUUUCUUUUGUACUUGGCACUUUAUCUCCUUCUGACGCUCUUAUCCAUAUUUAACUCCUGUGUUACUUUCUCCAUUUUUUUUGUUAUUUUAAUAUACAAAACAGCUAUACAAAAUGAUCUUCUAAUGAGUAUUAUAACAGUAACUAUGUCAGGAAAUUGAAGCGUUUUCAUUUUGUAUUUUCUUUUGUAAUUUUGUGUUUGUUUUUUUAUCGUUGUUGUUAUUGAUGGUCACUCUACUUCCUGGAGAGAGAAAAAAAAAUCCUCCCCACAAACUUCCUGUUUCCUGUGGGCAUAUCUCAGGGACCCCACCCCUUCCCCCCCCAAAAAAAAACCAGGAAGUUGGCCUUAUUUGUUUGUUCUCUUCUGUUUGUUGUUGUUGAAAGGUCAGUGAGAAGUGUCAUAGUAGUGCUUUUAGAAGCGUUGUAAUGAUUCUCUGAUGUUCCAUCCAGACCAAAGUAUAUAUUAUAUUCAUCUCCCGUUAAUAGAACACAGCCCACACGCUAGAACACUCUAGAACCAACCAUUCCAAGCCAUGUUCCCUUUUCCAAGCCCACAAAGACAUUUUGGAUGUACAUUUUACUCCAAGCCUGUUGGUGGCAGUCUCCACAAGAUUGGUGGUCCUGUCCAUAAACUUCCCACAACAAUGUAACGUUCAGUUACAAAGUUAUAUCAAAACCCUGUUUUCUAAUCAGUCAGUUUGUAUGUAGCUACUUCUUGAGUUAUAUCAUUCUCAGUUUUGUUGAUGUGCUGCAGAGUUGUUGGUUUUUACGGUCGUUAAGCACUGGCGUUCCGGUUUCACACCUUCUUUUAGUGUCCUCCAUCCCCUAGACAACACACCUGACAGUUCCCAUAGCAACUCUCAGUUCACAAUUCAAGCGCUACAAAGAAGUUCUUAAAUCCAAAGAAAACAAUGAAGAGCAGGUUCUCCCAUUUCUCCUGAGUAUAUAUAUAUAUAUAUAUCGGCCCGGUUUUUACUGUGUGUAACUACAUCGUGCCAAAGCUAGUCCCUUCUGCAUGUUUAGUAUUUUGUCUUGGUGUAACACGUACUUUGUCCUACAUUUGCAUGUUGAAACAAAAGUGUUGUGGUCUGUUUUGUAUCGUUGUAUUGUAUCAUGCGCCUGUAGCAUUUCUCCUGCUUUUGCACUUGACAAAGUCGAAUAAAGAGUUUGACAGCUAUGAGAGCAGGUAUCCGUCUUGUGGGAGACUAAUUGUUCACCUAGGACAUUUUCACUAUCAAAAUACCCAUAAAGACGGGUCGUCCAUGAGACCUUGGCCAGUUGUCCACAAAGUACUGAUCUUCCU
ensembl:lncRNA